UAUCCAGCAACCAAUUCUUUUAAAAAUAGAAAGGAAUAUGACAAUGAUCCCCCAGAACCAUCACCGAAGAGCCACUAAAAAAUAUGCAUAAUCCGGUUAACAACCAAAUCAAGCGAAAAUCAAAACAAUCUAUUACACUGGAAAACACACCCAACAAAAUCCAAAAAGUAAAUAACAAAUAAACCGGUUGGGCACAUGCAAAACAGGUCUGAAAAUAAAGCUAAUGAACCAUACUACCCGGAUUUAAAUACACAAAUGAUCGGUGAUGGACCAUAACAGAAACCAUCACAUACAUCUGAUUCAAAACAAUAAAAUAGAUAAUCAAUAAAACCCAUAAAGUCUGACCGAAAAAUCAAUAGUAACAGACAAAACCCAAAUCUGAGCAUGAAUAAUAAAACAACAAGAAAACAUGAAUCAGAGAUUUGGAAAACACGCGAACAACAGAAGACAUCCAUGGUCCAAAAAGAGCCAUUAUCCAAAACACAACCACCAACAAAUAACCCUCAAGAUCUAACACCCCAGACCGAACCGCCACAUCAGAUCAUAACACCCAUUCUCCACAUCCUUUUGAGUAACACCAGGUUUUUCUCCCUCUGAUCGUCCAGAAACUCAAGUGGUGGGCUGAUGAAGACGGAGACAAAGGUCUGAGUUGUCUAGUGUCAAUGAAGGCAGUGAAUGCUUGUGAAAUCUUUAUCAAUCAUUGGUUAAAGAACAUAUAAGACCAGAUAAGGAUGACGAAAAUAAGCCAUGUCAUUUUCU
rnacentral:lncRNA from 1 species